rnacentral:rRNA from 1 species
UACGGGGGGGGGUAAGCGUUGUUCGGAAUUACUGGGCGUAAAGGGCUCGUAGGCGGCCAACUAAGUCGGACGUGAAAUCCCUCAGCUUAACUGGGGAACUGCGUCCGAUACUGGAUGGCUUGGAUUUGGGAGAGGGAUGCGGAAUUCCAGGUGUAGCGGUGAAAUGCGUAGAUAUCUGGAGGAACACCGGUGGCGAAGGCGGCAUCCUGGACCAAUAUUGACGCUGAGGAGCGAAAGCCAGGGGGAGCAAAACGGGG